rnacentral:rRNA from 1 species
GGGCCCGCACAAGCGGUGGAGCAUGUGGUUUAAUUCGAUGAUACGCGAGGAACCUUACCAGGGCUUAAAUGUAGUAUGACCGGUCUGGAAACAGGCCUUCCCUUCGGGGCAGAUUACAAGGUGCUGCAUGGUUGUCGUCAGCUCGUGCCGUGAGGUGUUAGGUUAAGUCCUGCAACGAGCGCAACCCCUAUUCUUAGUUGCCAGCGGUUCGGCCGGGGACUCUGAAAGAACUGCCAGUGAUAAGCUGGAGGAAGGUGGGGAUGACGUCAAGUCCUCAUGGCCCUUACGUGUUGGGCUACACACGUGCUACAAUGGCGCAUACAGAGGGCAGCCAACUUGCGAGAGUGAG